UGUUGAGUUGAAAGAGUUGUUUCCGACUAUCAAGUCUGAUAAUUGGUACAGCAGAAAUCGUUCGAAUGCUCAUGGACAAGCUGUCACCUCUUCUGUUUCAUUAUUGAAUUAUUAUAAGGUUUAUCGUAAAAAUUUAGCAGCAGCUCAUAUUACAGAUAGCAGUGCUGCUUUAGAGAAUAUUCAGACUACUUUUGAAGGAAAUUAUGGUACAAACUGGCAUUUACAUUUGAAACCUUUGACGGAUGAAAAUCCAUCGAGUUAUAAUAUUGGCAUUGUUCUCUGUACUUGGAAGGACUCAUUUGAAACGAGAUUAAAAAAUCUUGUAAAAUAUCAAAACAAAAAAGUUUUUAUAAAGUAUGAAACGUACUUGAACACAUAUGUAUGUUUGAAUUGUUCAUUUGGCCUCGACUUUCUUGAAACCGACAGCUAUACAAUUAUUAAAAAUUUAGCUAAGGAGAAACGCAUUCCCACAACAGUAGCAGACAACUUUCGCACCAUUUUUGGAACUCGUUGGCCUGUUUUGGCGUAGCUGAUUUUCAAGCAUGGAUAUAAUUCACAUGAUACAAGUAUCAAAGAAUUUAAACAUGAACACAAUAAUAUUAGUAAUGGUACGUUUCGUAAAUAAAU